rnacentral:piRNA from 1 species
UGGUAGCUUUGCACCCCAUGUCUGC